UACAGAGGGUGCAAGCGUUAAUCGGAAUUACUGGGCGUAAAGGGUGCGUAGGUGGUUUGAUAAGUUGGGUGUGAAAUUCCUGGGCUUAACCUAGGAACUGCGCUCAAUACUGUUGAGCUAGAGUACUGUAGAGGAAGGUGGAAUUUCCAGUGUAGCGGUGAAGUGCGUAGAUAUUGGAAGGAACAUCAGUGGCGAAGGCGACUUUCUGGACAGAUACUGACACUGAGGCACGAAAGCGUGGGGAGCAAACAGG
rnacentral:rRNA from 1 species